GAUGAAGAACGUAGCGAAAUGCGAUAAGUAAUGUGAAUUGCAGAAUUCAGUGAAUCAUCGAAUCUUUGAACGCACAUUGCGCCCCUUGGUAUUCCGAGGGGCAUGCCUGUUCGAGCGUCAUUAUAACCCCUCAAGCUCAGCUUGGUGUUGGGGCCUGCUGCACUGGCAGCCCUUAAAAUCAGUGGCGGCGCCAUCUGGCUCUAAGCGUAGUAAUUCUUCUCGCUAUGGAGUCCUGGUGGAUGCUUGCCAUCAACCCCCAAUUUUUCUAUGGUUGACCUCGGAUCAGGUAGGGAUACCCGCUGAACUUAAGCAUCUCAAUAAGCGGAGGA
rnacentral:misc_RNA from 1 species